CACGUAGGGCGCAAGCGCUGUCCGGAAUUAUUGGGCGUAAAGAGCUCGUAGGCGGUCUGUUGCGUCUGCUGUGAAAACCCGGGGCUUAACCCCUGGCUUGCAGUGGAUACGGACAGACUAGAGGUAGGUAGGGGAGAAUGGAAUUCCCGGUGUAGCGGUGAAAUGCGCAGAUAUCGGGAGGAACACCGGUGGCGAAGGCGGUUCUCUGGGCCUUACCUGACGCUGAGGAGCGAAAGCGUGGGGAGCGAACAGG
rnacentral:rRNA from 1 species